rnacentral:tRNA from 1 species
AAGAAAUUAGUUAAACAAUAUAACAUUUGCUUGUCAAGCAAAAAUUAUCUCAAGGAUAUUUCUUA